GAGUUUGAUCCUGGCUCAGAACGAACGCUGGCGGCAGGCCUAACACAUGCAAGUCGAGCGCUCUCUUCGGAGGGAGCGGCGGACGGGUUAGUAACGCGUGGGAACGUGCCCUUCUCUACGGAAUAGCCUCGGGAAACUGGGAGUAAUACCGUAUACGCCCUUUGGGGGAAAGAUUUAUCGGAGAAGGAUCGGCCCGCGUUGGAUUAGGUAGUUGGUGGGGUAAUGGCCUACCAAGCCUACGAUCCAUAGCUGGUUUGAGAGGAUGAUCAGCAACACUGGGACUGAGACACGGCCCAGACUCCUACGGGAGGCAGCAGUGGGGAAUCUUAGACAAUGGGCGCAAGCCUGAUCUAGCCAUGCCGCGUGAGUGUCGAAGGCCUUAGGGUCGUAAAGCUCUUUCGCUGGGGAAGAUAAUGACGGUACCCAGUAAAGAAACCCCGGCUAACUCCGUGCCAGCAGCCGCGGUAAUACGGAGGGGGUUAGCGUUGUUCGGAAUUACUGGGCGUAAAGCGCGCGUAGGCGGAUCAGAAAGUUGGGGGUGAAAUCCCAGGGCUCAACCCUGGAACUGCCCUCAAAACUCCUGGUC
rnacentral:rRNA from 1 species